GCUUAUUUUACUCUCAUGUACUUGAAAAAUAAGGCUUUUUGCCUAUUACUUCUUUGCUCCCUUCUCUGCAUUAUCUAUAACCCUUUUAUUCUAUCUUCUUCUUCGUUAAACCCUUUAAAACCAGGAAACCCAACGCCGUUACCAAACUCCACUCUUCCUGAGGAAGAAGAGCCAUGAAUCCCUCUCUCCUCUCUGCCCCUUCUCCCUCUACUCUGCCUCUUCUCACCCCUUUCCUCACCUCCUCUCCUCUCCAUCUCUCCACGCCUUCCUCUCUCUCCCUCCCUACACGACGCCGUUUCAGGUUCUCCGUUCCUCGUAAUUCCUCCGAUAAGCCAACUGAUGUCUCCUCCGAUUCUGUGUCGACGUCGUCUUCUUCAUCAGCAUCAGCCAUUUCUGAUGUUUUUGGGGGCAAGCGAGAGCUUACUGGGUUACAGCCUUUGGUGGCAAAUCUCUCGCCGCCGGUGAGAUUAGCAAGCUCCGCUAUUAUUCUUGCUGGAGCUGUGGCUGCUGGUUAUGGACUAGGGUUUAGGUUUGGUAAGACUCGGAAUUUGGCUUUGGGUGGUGCCGCUGCUAUGGGGGCUGCCGGUGGCGCUGUUGUUUAUGCUAUGAACUCGUGCGUACCGGACGUUGCAGCUGCUGAUUUACAUAACUAUUUGGUUGGGUGCGAUGAUCCCAAAGCCGUUAAGAAGGAGGAUAUUGAGCAGAUUGCCAAAAGAUAUGGUGUAAGCAAGCAGAACGAGGCAUUCAAUGCGGAACUUUGUGAUAUAUACUGUCGGUUUGUGUCAUCUACUCUCCCUCCAGGAAGUGAAGAUCUUAGAGGGGAUGAAGUUGAAAUAAUAUCCAACUUCAAAAGUGCAUUGGGCAUUGAUGAUCCUGAUGCUGCCAACAUGCAUGUGGAGAUUGGUAGGCGGAUUUUCAGGCAAAGGCUUGAAACUGGAGAUCGUGAUGGUGAUGUAGAGCAGCGUCGGGCAUUUCAGAAGCUGAUCUAUGUGUCAACUCUAGUUUUUGGAGAAGCAUCAUCAUUUCUUUUACCUUGGAAGCGUGUUUUCAAGGUUACUGAUUCCCAGGUUGAGAUUGCUAUUCGUGACAAUGCCCAGAGUUUAUAUGCUUCAAAGCUAAACUCAAUUAGCAGAGAUGUUGAUGUGGAGGAGCUUGUUAGUCUCGGGCAAGCGCAACGUCAUUAUCAACUUUCUGAUGAGCUUGCUGAGGACUUGUUUAGGCAGCAGACAAGAAAACUGGUUGAGGAAAAUAUAUCAGCAGCAUUGGAUGUUUUGAAGUCUAGGACAAGAGCUGCGUAUGAUUAUUAUCACUCUGCUCAAAUGCAGCUUUUUGUCACAAAUUUAUUAGUAUUUUACUAUUUUAUUUUCAAAGAAUCUUUAUUCAUUAUUUUUCAAAGUAUCCUUAGCAGUGUCAUUUAUUAUUGCAACACAUUUCAUUUGCAAUAUCUAAUUAAUUUAGGUUGUAUAGGAGGGGUGUUGUGCAAGUCGUGGAAGAGCUCGAUAAGGUAUUGGCAUUCAACAAUAAGCUUAUUUCAUUAAAGAAUCAUCCUGAUGCAGCUUCCUUUGCUCGCGGGGUUGGUCCAGUUUCUCUACUAGGUGGUGAGUAUGAUAAUGAGAGAAAGAUGGAUGACUUGAAGCUUCUUUAUAGAGCUUAUAUUACAGAUGCUUUAUCUAGUGGUCGCAUGGAAGAAAAUAAGCUAUCUGCAUUGAAUCAGUUAAGGAAUAUAUUUGGUUUAGGGAAAAGGGAGGCAGAAGCAAUUACACUUGAUGUUACCUCAAAGGCAUAUCGUAAACGACUUGCACAGGCCGUUUCCAGUGGAGAUUUAGAUUUGGCAGCUAGCAAAGCUGCCUUCCUGCAAAAUCUGUGUGAAGAGUUGUACUUUGAUGCACAAAGGGCAACUGAAAUACAUGAAGAAAUUUACCGACAGAAGCUCCAGCAAUGUGUGGCUGAUGGGGAGCUGAGUGAGGAUGAUGUUGUAGCUUUGAACCGUUUGAGAGUCAUGCUCUGCAUUCCUCAGCAAACUAUUGAUUCAGCUCACUCUGAUGUCUGUGGCACUUUGUUUGAAAAGGUGGUCAAGGAGGCAAUUGCUUCAGGAGUUGAUGGUUAUGAUGCUGAUGUUAAGAAGGCAGUAAGGAAGGCUGCUCAUGGCUUACGAUUAACUCGGGAGGCUGCCAUGUCUAUUGCUGGCAAAGCAGUUCGAAAGAUUUUCAUAAACUAUAUAAAGCGAGCACGGACAGCUGAUAAUCGUACUGAGGCUGCAAAAGAACUAAAGAAAAUGAUUGCUUUCAAUACAUUGGUUGUGACUGAAUUGGUAGGUGACAUAAAAGGAGAAUCUUCUGAUACUCCACCAGAAGAGUCCAAGCAGGAAGAAGAGAAAAUUAAAGAGGAUGAGGAAUGGGAUGAUGAAGAAUGGGAGUCCCUUGAGACGCUGAGGAAAAUAAAACCUAGUGAGGAGUUUGCUGCAAAGAUGGGGAAACCUGGUCAGACAGAGAUAAAUCUCAGAGAUGAUCUUCCUGAAAGGGAUAGGACUGACCUUUACAAGACAUACUUGCUAUACUGCCUAACUGGGGAAGUCACCAGGAUACCAUUUGGUGCUCAAAUCACCACAAAAAAGGAUGACUCAGAGUAUGUUUUGCUAAAUCAACUUGGUGGGAUUUUGGGUUUGACUGUCAAGGAAAUUGUGGAAGUUCACAGGAGCCUUGCUGAGCAGGCUUUUAGGCAACAAGCUGAGGUGAUUUUAGCUGAUGGACAGUUGACAAAAGCCAGGGUUGAGCAACUCAAUGAGGUGCAGAAGCAAGUUGGCUUGCCACCGGAGUAUGCGCAAAAGGUAAUAAAGAGCAUUACAACUACGAAAAUGGCAGCUGCUCUGGAAACUGCCAUCAGUCGUGGGAGGCUCAAUAUAAAACAGGUAAGAGAACUGAAGGAAGCAAAUGUUGAUUUGGACAGCAUGAUCUCUGAGAGGUUGCGAGACAACCUGUUCAAAAAAACUGUGGAUGAAAUUUUCUCAUCAGGUACUGGAGAGUUUGAUGAGGUGGAAGUUUAUGAGAAAAUCCCGGCAGAUCUUAACAUCAAUGCCGAGAAGGCCAAACAAGUUGUACGUGAACUUGCUAAGACUAGACUAUCAAAUUCACUAAUUCAAUCUGUGGCACUACUAAGGCAGAGAAAUCAUCAAGCAGUGGUUUCCACACUUAAUGAUUUGCUGGCUUGCGACAAAGCUGUGCCUUCUGAGCCAUUGACAUGGGAGGUACCAGAGGAGCUAGCUGAUUUAUUUACCAUCUACAUGAAAAAUGACCCACAACAAGAAAAGCUGUCCCGGUUGCAGUAUCUGCUAGGGAUAAGUGAUUCAGCAGCUGCUGCUCUCAGGGAGAUGAAAGAUAUACGAUCAGUUGGGACAGAGGAAGAAAAAUUUGUAUUCUAACUGUUAAUAGUAUGACAGUUGUAUUAGGUGUGCCUGCCAAAGAUCUAAAACCUUUGUUUUCUGCCUAAUGGAAGACUGAUUCUUGGAGGGAAGUUUUCCUUAUGUAACAUAAGGUGAUGAAAUUUUGAUAGCUACUGAAUAAUUACCAAUGUGAUUGUUCAUUGAAUUGCUAUUUGAGGAUGGAUUCUGUUUUCAAUAAUUUGCCAAUGGAAUGUUAUCCGUAUGUGGAGUGACUAUUUUUUGGAAUCGGAGUAACUUCAU
rnacentral:misc_RNA from 1 species